UGAGGACAGGGUACAGGUACAUAGAGUGGUGCAGUGAUGACGUAUUUUUAUAGGCCGACCCGAAGUUGGGAUCUAAGUGCUCCAUCGACAAUAAGCAAUGUGAUUCUUUCAUUGGGUUUUGGAAUAUUCCAGAAGAAAACACACACGUUUAUAAUACUUACACUGUUUGUGUGUUUGCUCAGGCUGAGAUCUACAAGGCAGAUUUCCUAGCAGAGCGAGAAGCGAGAGAGAAGCUGAACCAGAAGAAGGAGGAGCUGCAGGAUCAGCUGACUCAGGCCCUGACUGAGAUUGACAGGCUCAAACAGGAAGCCACAUCACGAGCACGCAUCGAGCAGAUGAAGCUGAGACACCUGGAAGACUUUCCAACAAGGGCGCCACACAUUCCCCCCCCUCAAGCUUUCAACACGGUGCCCCCGGCCCCCUCGUUCCGCCAUAAGGGUUUGGCCCCCCUCGGUGAUCAAGGAGCCGCUGGUGCUGAGGAGCUGCCUGAUUUAUGUUGUCCUAAGUGCCAGUACCAGGCUCCAGAUAUGGACACACUGCAGAUACAUGUCAUGGACUGUAUACAGUAACAUGAGCGUACAGCCCACAUACACCUACAGAUUUACAUAGAAAGUACAUUUAAUUUUCUCACGUUUCCUAGUGUCUACUCCUAGCAUUGGGCACAACUUGAUAAACAUCUUUGGUUGUGGCCCCUUGCUCUCUGACACACACUUCAAAACAGACACACAAACCAAAAUACUUGCUGUACAUCUUACAAUUUUAACAAUCGAAUAUGUUGGAAACAAGACCAUUGGCAAUCAAAUGACAGUAUGAAGUGAAAGCGGAGAAUGACAGCAAAUAAUGAGCACGGUAUUUUCCUAGAAGGUGCUCAAUGGAUUACAAAUUGUGCUGUAGCUUUUAAAUUCUGCAACUCGUGCUUUUCGCGUCUUUCUCUUUACUCCUUUUUCUUUUUCCCUCUUCAUGCCUUGCCUCUGAGAUGGCCCACUGACAAACAUGUCCAUCAGUAUUUGUAUAUGAAUCCUGAUAUCUUGUCUCUCUUUGCUCUUGUGGGAUAGUGGCAAUCGAGGAGGUAAAUACAUACUGUGGAAUAAGUGUGUAUAGUUUGACUGUAUCCUCCAGGUUAUACACGUGUACAAUAGAUAAAUGGGGCCUUCAAAUGAGAAAUCGAAGGACAAUGUGAAUAACCUAGUGAGCUUUGAAUUAUAUACAAUACUCAAAUAUGUUUUGGUCAUAAAUGUUGCUGUAUACAUUACCUCCAAACAUGUAUUAUUAUUAUGAAUUAGAGAUGAAUUUACUCUAAUUGAAAAAAGUAGCCAUUCUCUGUGUUCUGUGCCUGUGUACACCUCUGACUGCACCACUGCUUUAACCCCGACUCUGAACGCACACCCCCUCUGUCUGUGCCCUUUAUUCAGUCUUAUCUAUACCUGUAGCACCUUGCUAUUUAUCUCUCCGCAGGCAAGCACAUCAAGGGUCCUUCACAGUUUGUGUGAAUAUUGUCUGUAAUGAUGGAUCAUUUGGUUCAAAGAUUAUCGUUUCAAACUGUUGAAGAUUUAAAUAAAUGUGUUAUUCAGAUUGUA